ensembl:lncRNA
UUUAACUUCUGAACCAAGGAUUAUAAGGAAUCAGGAAAAGCAUCUCUGGGCAAAAUAUCUCAUCACCCCCCCUGCAAACAAGUGCAGGAUAAUGCGCCUCUGGGAGCACGUUCUUUGAAAUCUCGCCAGUCUGCAGGAGACGUGAAUAAUUCAAAGCCCGGUUUCAGGUUUCAAGUUUUCGCACAAAAGAGGUCUUCCCACCUAAUCAGCAACCGGCGUAUACGGGCUUCAGGACAGAGUGAUGUUGGCAUGAUGUGGCUGAUUAGAGUCAAUCAGCGGGGCGGGGGAAACCGACAUUUCAAAACAACCACGCAGACAGAGGUCUGGAAUUUCUCCUCUGAGCACAUCAGCUAAGGGCACAUCCCAAUUUUCCAUGGACCAAAUGACAGCUUGAUUGUGAGCGCCAUGUUCACGUGGAAUUGGGAUGCUGAUUUGGUGCAUUUAAAGAGGAUCCAGAGAGGAGAAAGGCUGAAUACAAUCAACCAAAAGUUAAAUAGAACAUUGGUGUCAAAGAAAUUGAUUGUCCAAGAUGUUGUAAGGGAGAUAAAAUAUCCCAAGAACAAGUCACUUUUAAACCAUUUUGUUGCGUAGCAUAAUCAGGGAAAUUUUAGAAUCAUCAUUGUAUGAGUUUGCACCACUGAUUUAGGUUCAUAUGCACAUUUGAUUAUGCCAAGUGCACGCAGGGAAUAAUAAUUCAGCAUGCUUGCUUAAAACACUAUCUAUAGUGAAAAUGUUGCUGUUAUUUUUAUGAUGGUGUGUUUAAAAUGUUGCUGAAAACAUAAAAUUGCUUUAAGGUCUAAAAAACACUUUCAAUUGUUGAACUAGUUCAAAUAUAACUGUGAAUAUAUUCAACAGUUUCUGAUUGUGCUAAAAGCACCGUAUAUUGAUAACAGGUCAAAUUAGGGUCACAUGAGGACCAGUGAUUUUGAACAAUAGUUACAAUAGUAACUAAACUAAAUUAACAAAAAUAAUGUCUUUUAGGUCUGUGAUGAAGUCAGGGGUGAAAUCCACAAUAAGAAAUUAGAUCUUUUAUCUCACAAUAAAGUCAAUGACUGCGAGGAAAUAAACAUCACUACAGUGGAGUACCAUGCAUUACCAUGUGUCAGAUAAGAGUCUUUCAAGUGUCUUUAGAGAACUAAAUAACUGCUAUUGAUAUUUUAGCAUGUCAAUGGCCACCUUAACUCUCAAAGCUGACAUUGUUUUUAUUUAAGGAUUAGGCCUUUGCUGUGGGCAUGAGUUAAGUUUCCCAUUAUAGAGGAAAUCAGAAGAAAGCAACAUUUAAAUGAAGGAUAAGAGGCCUCUGUGUGUCAAGAGCUAAGAUAAGCAGUUUCUGUCUCACAACGCUGCUGUUUCAAUUACGUACUUCAAGGGAAAACAAAGUAAUGGUGACACCACUUAUAUUGUGCAGCUAAUGAAUAUUGUUUUCUCAUAGAAUGACAUGACUAUCCAUGAUGAACACUUCAAAAGGAAAUUCAAGACAAAGAAAUACAGUAUAUUUUUUUGUUUGAUGGUAUUCCAUUCUCUUCUUAUUUUGAAAUGUGUAUGAAUAAUGCUCCAUACACUCAAUUCACAUGACGUAAUUGUCUCUGCUCACUCAGCUCAGAGGACAUAGUCCAGCCUCUUAUGGUGUACAAAUAAUA